AACGAACGCUGGCGGCAUGCCUAACACAUGCCAGUCGAACGAGACCUUCGGGUCUAGUGGCGCACGGGUGCGUAACGCGUGGGAACCUGCCCUUAGGUUCGGAAUAACUCCCCGAAAGGGGUGCUAAUACCGGAUAAUGUCUUCGAACCAAAGAUUUAUCGCCUUUGGAUGGGCCCGCGUUGGAUUAGCUAGUUGGUAGGGUAAAAGCCUACCAAGGCGACGAUCCAUAGCUGGUCUGAGAGGAUGAUCAGCCACACUGGGACUGAGACACGGCCCAGACUCCUACGGGAGGCAGCAGUGGGGAAUAUUGGACAAUGGGCGAAAGCCUGAUCCAGCAAUGCCGCGUGAGUGAUGAAGGCCUUAGGGUUGUAAAGCUCUUUUACCCGGGAUGAUAAUGACAGUACCGGGAGAAUAAGCUCCGGCUAACUCCGUG
rnacentral:rRNA from 1 species